rnacentral:lncRNA from 1 species
GUUUUGAAAAGUUUCACUGAAACACCGUUACGGGGACGAAUCAAUUUCGGGCCGAUAUGAUAUGGGGCGAGAUUGACACCUUGACUGAAACGCACUGGCAUACGUCAUCAAAGAUUACGCUGGAUAAACAAAAUGGAGAAUCCAAACGCAAAUGUUUUCAGAUAAGUAUUUUGAUUUAACAUAUAUGAUAAUUGUAAUAAUUAUAAAAUGCAAUUUGUU